AUAAAGGUUCCAUCAGGAUCAAAAGAGAAGCCCGGUCAGAAGCCGGCACGGUCCCGCCGCUGUAAAGAGGAGAAUGCUUCAUAUAUCCCACUGGGAAACCGGGAAGGGGAAGCUGACGAUGAACCUAAGUCAGAAGAACUGCCUUUAUGAG
rnacentral:ncRNA from 1 species